GACGAACGCUGGCGGCGUGCCUAACACAUGCAAGUCGAACGGAAAGGCCCUGCUUUGUGGGGGAGCGCGAGUUGAGAACGGGUGACUAACACGUGAGUAACCUGCCCCUGACUGUAGGAUAUCUUAAUGAAACUGGGGCUAAUACCGGCUAGGAGCUCCUGCUGCUGGGUGGGGGUGGGAAGGUUUCGGCGGUUGGGGGUGGACUCGCGGCUUAUCAGCUUGUUGGUGGGGUAGUGGCUUAGCAAGGCCUUGAAGGGUAGCCGGCCUGAGAGGGUAACCGGCCCAACUAGGAUUGAGCUACGACACGGACCCGUACGGGAGGCAGCAGUGGGGAAUAUAGUACAAGGGGCUGGAGGAUGACGUGGCCCAGCCGUGUGGGGGAUGACGGCAUGCGGGUUGUAAAGCGAUUUCGCUUGUGACGAAGCGUUAGUGACGGUACUGGGUAAAGAAGCUCCGGCUAACUACGUG
rnacentral:rRNA from 1 species